CCCUAGCCCCGAUUGAAAUGGAAAGCCCGGAGCGCCCAAAGCCAAUGGUACUUGCCUCAAAAGAGCGACCAACGGAAGCUCCUUUUGGGGCGUAGUACCAUGGCUUUGGGGGUGAGGACUUGUAAUGUAAAGCGGGAAUAGCU
rnacentral:sRNA from 1 species